AUUAAAAAUUGACAUUCGAAAGAUAAAAUGGAAAAUAAGGAGAGGGCUUGAAUUAAUUUCAUUUAAUGCCAUUAAAAUCUGUAGCAUUUCUGUGUGUUCAAAUACAAAUUAAUAAAUAUUUUUUGUUCUGGCAAUCGAUAGCAAAUGAGUAAUCUAUUUGUUUACAUUGUUUAUAUUCUCAAGUGGAUACACUUAUUUAUUUCUUAUUUUAAGGCAUCUACAAAAACUCAUGAUAACAUAUCUUAUGAUAACAAUAUAUGUAUGUGAAUGCGACUUUAAAAAGCCACAACCAGUUGAGCAAUGCAUCAGUUUGGUCUGACAGCGACUUCUAAAAACAUGAAAACUAUCGUUAUUAUUUCGGCUGUGCUUUGCAGCUUCUUGCUGUGUCACAGCACAACGGCUUUGCAACCCCUCGCUACUGACGUGGAGCUACCAGAAGGUCUUAAAGAAAAUAAUGGUGACAUUACAAUCGAUGGCUCUAUUGAAUCCAGUGCACACAUCGAAGUUCCAGAGAAGGUAGCCAAGGAUUUAUUAAAAGCUAUGGUCGAAGCUUUUCAACAUAUGCAAGUUUCUAGCGAAGUAACAGCUGAGGUCCAGGUUAAUGCUGGUGCAGGGGAACCGGCAAGCGUGGCGAGAGAGCCACAAAAUCGUACGACUUGUGAUUCAGGGUACUGCAGUAUGUACUGUCGUUCGAUAGGACGCUACGGUGGAUAUUGCAGCAUUUGGUCGGCCUGUGUAUGUGUAUAACGCACAUA